GCCGCAAUGGCCGUCACCUCAUCGAGGUCCUUGACCUCCAGGGUGGCGGUCUUGAAAUGCACCACAAACUCUGGCAAAGCCUCCCCAUCCUGCUGGCAGACAGAGAAAAGACUAUCAAUAGUUUUGGGCACUCUUCGGUUUAUGCCAAAGUGUGCCAUGAAUCACUGUUCGAACUGUUCAAAAAAUUGAUGCUUCUCAGCUGUAGCCCCGAGUACCACACCCGUGCGAUUUUUUGUAGC
rnacentral:lncRNA from 1 species